rnacentral:tRNA from 1 species
UGACGGAGAGAAAGGGAUUCGAACCCUUGAAAGAUAUUAUUUCUUUAAAACGGUUUUCGAAACCGCUCCGUUCAACCACUCCGGCAUCUCUCC